UGGGGGAUAUUGCACAAUGGGCGAAAGCCUGAUGCAGCGACGCCGCGUGGGGGAUGAAGGCUUUCGGGUUGUAAACCUCUUUCGCUAUCGAACAAGGCCCGCUUAGGGUGGGUUGAGGGUAGGUGGAGAAGAAGCGCCGGCUAACUACGUGCCAGCAGCCGCGGUAACACGUAGGGCGCGAGCGUUGUCCGGCUUUAUUGGGCGUAAAGGGCUUGUAGGCGGCUUGUUGCGCCUGCUGUGAAAACGCGGGGCUUAACUUCGCACGUGCAGUGGGUACGGGCAGGCUUGAGUGUGGUAGGGGUGACUGGAAUUCCGGGUGUGGCGGUGGAAUGCGCAGAUAUCUGGAGGAACGCCGAUGACGGAGGCAGGUCACUGGGCCAUUACUGACGCUGAGGAGCGAAAGCAUGGGUAGCGAACAGG
rnacentral:rRNA from 1 species